rnacentral:rRNA from 1 species
AGGACGAACGCUGGCGGCGUGCCUAAUACAUGCAAGUCGAACGGUCUUUCUAUGGAAGCUUGCUCCACUGAGAAGAUAGUGGCGAACGGGUGAGUAACACGUGGGUAACCUGCCCAUAAGAGGGGGGAUAACAUCCGGAAACGGGUGCUAAUACCGCAUAGUUUUCUUGAUUGCAUGAUUGAGAAAGGAAAGACGGCCUUUGUGCUGUCGCUUAUGGAUGGACCCGCGGCGUAUUAGUUAGUUGGUGAGGUAACGGCUCACCAAGACGAUGAUACGUAGCCGACCUGAGAGGGUGAUCGGCCACAUUGGGACUGAGACACGGCCCAAACUCCUACGGGAGGCAGCAGUAGGGAAUCUUCCGCAAUGGACGAAAGUCUGACGGAGCAACGCCGCGUGAGUGAAAGAAGGUUUUCGGAUCGUAAAACUCUGUUGUCAGAGAAGAACAAGUUGGAGAGUAACUGCUCCAGCCUUGACGGUAUCUGACCAGAAAGCCACGGCUAACUACGUGCCAGCCGCCGC